UGAAUACUUAGACGCCUCGUGGAGCGCUGAGUCGUACGUUACGUCUCCGCCAUCUUCUAUGUGGCAGCAGGGCGAUCGGAGCUCCUUAAAUCCUGUGCUGUGGACUUGUUUCAACCAUUUUACGAAACAAACUGGAUUCAUUGGCUCUACCUUUCACGGCCUGUAAACCAGGACAUCUCAGAAGUCAUUGGAGUUCCCCCAGUGUGACCAGCAGACUGAAGCCCUGCCUUUGACCAGUGUUCCCAGUAUAAUAAAUAAAUGUUUAAUUCUUUCA